CAAGGCACUUUUGGUUUCCGGUAGACAUGUAAGCCUGUGCGGUAGCUGCUGGUGAUUGAAAAAGUGAGCCAUCUUCACUCAAAUGCAUUGUGAUGGUUUCUUGAUCAACAUGAUAUUUUGUUGACUGAAGUGUCUCUAGCAAUUAGUGACUUCGUCUGAUCACUGAACUGAAGUUCUAAACCUGUUGAUUCCGCAAGCUCAAUAGCUGCGGGGAAAACAAUAGAGAACCAGCGAGGAAGACGAGGACCAUGGCCAUGAAGCAUCUCCACCAUAUUUGCUUGUAUAAAAUUCAACCCUACAUAUACAACUCACUUUAUCAUUAUUUUGUUGGAACAAAAUUAGAUGUAUUUUUAUGUUCGUCUGUGAUCUAGUGAAAUGAUAUGAAUUUCUAAAUAGUUUUGGAAA